UGAGUACGAGCUGCUACGGCAGCGAAGUGGGUGAUGUCAAGCUUCCAAGAAAAGCCCUAUACCCGUUAAGGCAUGACGGCCUGUACCCGAAACCGACACAGGUGGGGUGGUAGAGAAUACCGAGGGGCGCGAGAUAACUCUCUCUAAGGAACUCGGCAAAAUGGCCCCGUAACUUCGGGAGAAGGGGUGCCAUCGCAAGGUGGUCGCAGUGAAGAGGCCCAGGCGACUGUUUACCAAAAACACAGGUCUCCGCUAAGUCGCAAGACGAUGUAUGGGGGCUGACGCCUGCCCAGUGCCGGAAGGUUAAGGAAGCUGGUCAGCGCAAGCGAAGCUAGCGACUGAAGCCCCGGUGAACGGCGGCCGUAACUAUAACGGUCCUAAGGUAGCGAAAUUCCUUGUCGGGUAAGUUCCGACCCGCACGAAAGGCGUAACGAUCUGGGCGCUGUCUCGGAGAGAGGCUCGGCGAAAUAGAAUUGUCUGUGAAGAUGCGGACUACGUGCACCCGGACAGAAAGACCCUAUGAAGCUUUACUGUAGCUUGGUAUUGUGCCCGGGCUCUGAAUGCGCAGGAUAGGUGGGAGGCUUUGAUCCAUGGCUUGCGGGUCAUGGUGAGCCAACGGUGAGAUACCACUCUUUCAGAGCUAGGGUUCUAACAGCCACCCGUUAUCCGGGGGCUGGACAGUAUCAGGUGGGCAGUUUGACUGGGGCGGUCGCCUCCUAAAAGGUAACGGAGGCGCGCAAAGGUUUGCUCAGGCUGGUUGGAAAUCAGCCGACGAGUGCAAAAGCAGAAGCAAGCUUGACUGUGAGACCAACAAGUCGAACAGGGACGAAAGUCGGCUUUAGUGAUCCGACGGUUCUGAGUGGAAGGGCCGUCGCUCAACGGAUAAAAGUUACUCUAGGAUAACAGGCUGAUCUCCCCCAAGAGUUCACAUCGACGGGGAGGUUUGGCACCUCGAUGUCGGCUCAUCGCAACCUGGGGCUGAAGUCGGUCCCAAGGGUUGGGCUGUUCGCCCAUUAAAGCGGUACGCGAGCUGGGUUCAGAACGUCGUAAGACAGUUCGGUCCAUAUCCGGUGCAUGCGUAAGAACAUUGAGAGGAGUUCUCCCUAGUACGAGAGGACCGGGAGGAACGCACCUCUGGUGUACCAGUUAUCGUGCCAACGGUAAACGCUGGGUAGCCAUGUGCGGAGAGGAUAACCGCUGAAAGCAUCUAAGUGGGAAGCCCACCUCAAGAUGAGUGUUCUCAUGGCUUAAGCCAGUAAGGUCACGGGAAGAACACCCGUUGAUAGGCUCUACGUGGAAGCGCAGCAAUGUGUGAAGCGGAGGAGUACUAAUAGACCGAGGGCUUGACC
rnacentral:rRNA from 1 species